UGGUUCUGGCAUNGAUGAAGAACGCAGCGAAAUGCGAUAAGUAAUGUGAAUUGCAGAAUUCAGUGAAUCAUCGAAUCUUUGAACGCACAUUGCGCCCUUUGGUAUUCCGAAGGGCAUGCCUGUUCGAGCGUCAUUUCAACCCUCAAGCUCUGCUUGGUAUUGGGUCUCACCGCACGGUGGGCCUUAAAAUCAGUGGCGGUGCCAUCUUGGCUCUAAGCGUAGUAAAUCUCUCGCUCUGGGACCUCGGUGGUGCUUGCCAGCAACCCCAAAUUUUCUAUGGUUGACCUCGGAUCAGGUAGGGAUACCCGCUGA
rnacentral:misc_RNA from 1 species